rnacentral:lncRNA from 1 species
AAUGUGUUGUUCUCUCUUUUCUCCCCACGUACAGGAUAAGACCUGGACUGAAGUCAUGGAAACACAUCAGAAACUCCCCCCUGAUGGAUCAGACUUGGGAAAGCAGCAAGAGGCUGUGUGGGAACUCUUCACGAGUGAAUGCACUUAUUUCUUGGACCAUUUAUUGGUCCUUAAGAUGAUCUUUAUGAAUACAUUAAAAUAUCUGCAAAUUCAUGAAUAUCUCUUGGAUGUGGAUCUAUGGAGACUUUUUGCAAACCUGGAGGAGUUAACUCAGGUGAGCCAAACUAGGAAGUAGGGACGUGUUAAAAUUCACCAGAUG